UACGUAGGUGGCAAGCGUUGUCCGGAUUUAUUGGGCGUAAAGGGCGCGCAGGCGGUCCGUUAAGUCUGAGGUGAAAUCUCCUGGCUCAACUGGGAGGGGUCUUCAGAUACUGGCGGACUUGAGGAGUGCAGAGGUGAGUGGAAUUCUCGGUGUAGUGGUGAAAUGCGUAGAUAUCGAGAGGAACACCAGUGGCGAAGGCGGCUCACUGGGCACCACCUGACGCUGAGGCGCGAAAGCGUGGGGAGCGAACCGG
rnacentral:rRNA from 1 species